rnacentral:piRNA from 1 species
CGAUGGCUACCAUGGGCGACACUCUGG